rnacentral:rRNA from 1 species
CGGACACUCUUGCUGUUUCGCUGACGACUGGCGAACGGGUGAGUAAUGUCUGGGAAACUGCCUGAUGGAGGGGGAUAACUACUGGAAACGGUAGCUAAUACCGAAUAACGUCGCAAGACCAGGGGGGGGGACCCUCGGGCCUCUUGGCAUCGGAUGUGCCCCUAUGGGAUUAGCUUGUUGGUGGGGUAACGGCUCACCAAGGCGACGAUCCCUAGCUGGUCUGGUGAGAUGACCAGCCACACUGGAACUGAGACACGGUCCAGACUCCUACGGGAGGCAGGGUGGGGAAUAUUGCACAAUGGGCGCAAGCCUGAUGCAGCCAUGCCGCGUGUAUGAAGAAGGCCUUCGGGUUGUAAAGUACUUUCAGCGGGGAGGAAGGUAAUAAAGUCUGUACCUUUAGCUCAUUGACGUUACCCUCAGAUCAGGCACCGUAUAACUCCGUGCCCGCAGCCCUCGCAAGAAUGAUGGGGCAAACGGUAAUCGCAAUUACUGGGGUGGAUCCCGAGGUGACCUAGCAAAUUGAUUCCGAGACUGAUUAGCUUCCUGGCGUAAAAGGGGAGUAGAAUUCAACUGUAACGAUGAAGUCGUCCAAAUUUGUACA